GUGAGAUGUGACAAGACCCAGAGUCAAGCCCUCGUCCAGAGAAAGGGCAAGACAAGCAAAGCUCAGGAGGGAAACUGACACAAAUAGAGAUGGAAGAAGAAGGAGCACAGAUUUUCUCCCCCUGAAAAUCCUUCCGUGUGAAUGAGAAAUAUUCACAUGCCCAAAUAAGACAAGUCUUAAUAUGUUGCCCUGGAUAUUUCUCUCACUCCAGACCCCUUCUAUCGGUCCCAUGUUGAUGUUUUUUCCACCUGCAAAUUUACCAAACUUUAAUCUAAUUUCAUCCUGCACCUGUUAACUUGAAAAAUGACCUGUUCUCGUGGACCCUGUGUUGUGUAAUGAAUCAAAACCAAUCAACAUACAGAGGAAACAAACAAAGGACAAAACAUCAUGUGCCCGGAACAGGGAGAUUGUGAAAGGUCCUAGCCAGCAACUCCUUACACAGCUUCUGAGAAUGAACCUUUGGUUUUUAAAUACUUUUGGGAACCUGUCGCUUUCCAUAGGUGUCUUCUGGGACAAAUUAGUUGGAAUCCUGGAUGACUUUUGAAGUUCUAUUCUCACAUAUUCCAGGAGCAGGAUUCUGAAAAUUUAAUGCAUAAUAUGUUAUGGGGUGGGUAGGAGCCCUCAGUAGAUAACUGUGAUGUAGAACAUAGGAAGAAGGCAGCUGUAAGAAGUCAAACUGUGCGCCACUGGCUUAGUUUUUAAAAACUAAUCAAACACACAAAACGGCAUGAGGACCAUUUAAAAGAGCAUAUGGAUAAGUGCAAAGUGGUAGCUUGAAAGUUAAACACUUAAAGAUGGAACAAAGGAGAGUGCUGAGUAGAACGUCGUCGGUGGGGAAGACUUCCAGGGGGCUGUGGGUCAUUAGAGGUACCUUGAGGUACAUGGUGGAUGUGAAGGCAGUGAAGCAGAGGGAACUGUCCUGCAUGACAAAGAAAUCAUGGCAGUUGGUGGUGGUUUGAUUUAGUUGAAGCAGGAGAAUGACGUGGAUGAAGGAGCAGAAAGAUAGUUCAAGGAGGUGGCUCUUGACCGAGGACCUUGACUCUCAGACUAAGAUGCAGAAAACAGAGGUGAUGAAGACCUGCCGUAGAAAUCCAUGCAGAGGGAUGACAGGAGGAAAAACCCCUGUGUUAGGAAUCCCUUCACCCAUUGUCACUGCCGCUGUAGAAACCACACAAGUCAAACCUUCACUGGGCACGUUUUCAAUCUGGAGGGUUAUCAGGUCAUCUGGGGAAUUCUUUAAAUGUACAAGUACCUGGUCUCUACUCCCAAAGAAUUUGAUUUAGAAGAUCUGAAGUACAAUCCAGAGAUGGGCAAAUAAAAAUCCCCUAGGCUAAGGCUUCCAAACUAAGGUAUAUGAAAAUGAUCUGAGAAUCUUGUUGAAAAGUAGGCUCUGAUUCAGUGGAUGCUGGGGGGGGCCCAAGAAAUGAUACAAAAUUUCACCCGGGUCCGUUACAAUGGAGGCAUAGUCACAUAUCUGGAUGAAAUUUUGCAUCAUUUCUUUAAGCAAUGAGAAAUAAAGAGGUGAUUUCUUUAGAGGGCUUCAAGCACAUCCACAAAAUAAUGAGACCAUUUCUUUUUUGCAUCAACAUAUGAAAUCAGUCUCAUUGUACUUUAGCCUCACAUUUAGGGGAAAGGGAUAAGAAAACAGAAGUCUUAAAGUUUCCCUGGAAUUUAUGAAUAAUGGAUUACCCUUCUACAUUAUUCUUCCUGUUUUAAGGACAAAGCUGGCAUUAUUUCAAAAGAAAGGAAAAAAGGAAGACAGAAAAGAAGGGAGGAGAGGGAAGGGAGGAAGAAAGAGAGGAUACAGGCAAAACUCCUGCUCUUUUCCUGUGAAGGGCUGGGGGUUUUCUGUGCUGUGGUUUCUGUUGGUGCAGAACCUGCAUACUCUAACCCAGAACAGCGCAGGAGAAAUGACAUUUGACCAUCACCAAGAAGUUCAGGUCCUCCUCAG
rnacentral:lncRNA from 10 species